rnacentral:rRNA from 1 species
GAUGAACGCUGACAGAAUGCUUAACACAUGCAAGUCUACUUGAAUUUGGGUUUUUUAACUUCGAUUUGGGUGGCGGACGGGUGAGUAACGCGUAAAGAACUUGCCUCACAGCUAGGGACAACAUUUGGAAACGAAUGCUAAUACCUGAUAUUAUGAUUAUAGGGCAUCCUAGAAUUAUGAAAGCUAUAUGCGCUGUGAGAGAGCUUUGCGUCCCAUUAGCUAGUUGGAGAGGUAACGGCUCACCAAGGCGAUGAUGGGUAGCCGGCCUGAGAGGGUGAACGGCCACAAGGGGACUGAGACACGGCCCUUACUCCUACGGGAGGCAGCAGUGGGGAAUAUUGGACAAUGGACCGAGAGUCUGAUCCAGCAAUUCUGUGUGCACGAUGACGUUUUUCGGAAUGUAAAGUGCUUUCAGUUGGGAAGAAAAAAAUGACGGUACCAACAGAAGAAGUGACGGCUAAAUACGUGCCAGCAGCCGCGGUAAUACGUAUGUCACGAGCGUUAUCCGGAUUUAUUGGGCGUAAAGCGCGUCUAGGUGGUUAUGUAAGUCUGAUGUGAAAAUGCAGGGCUCAACUCUGUAUUGCGUUGGAAACUGUGUAACUAGAGUACUGGAGAGGUAAGCGGAACUACAAGUGUAGAGGUGAAGUUCGUAGAUAUUUGUAGGAAUGCCGAUGGGGAAGCCAGCUUACUGGACAGAUACUGACGCUGAAGCGCGAAAGCGUGGGUAGCAAACAGG